rnacentral:rRNA from 1 species
GACGAACGCUGGCGGCGUGCUUAACACAUGCAAGUCGAACGGAAAGGCCCUGCUUGCAGGGUACUCGAGUGGCGAACGGGUGAGUAACACGUGGGUGAUCUGCCCUGCACUUCGGGAUAAGCUUGGGAAACUGGGUCUAAUACCGGAUAGGAACCAUCUUUAGUGUGGUGGUUGGAAAGUUUUUUCGGUGUAGGAUGAGCUCGCGGCCUAUCAGCUUGUUGGUGGGGUAAUGGCCUACCAAGGCGGCGACGGGUAGCCGGCCUGAGAGGGUGUACGGCCACAAUGGGACUGAGAUACGGCCCAGACUCCUACGGGAGGCAGCAAUGGGGAAUAUUGCACAAUGGGCGCAAGCCUGAUGCAGCGACGCCGCGUGGGGGAUGAAGGCAUUCGGGUUGUAAACUCCUUUCGCUAGGGACGAAGCUUUGUUGUGACGGUACCUAGAUAAGAAGCACCGGCUAACUACGUG